rfam:TPA: Bos taurus chromosome 25, whole genome shotgun sequence.
UCCCUGGUGGCUCAGAUGGUAAAGCAUCUGCCUACAAUGCAGGAGACCUGGGUUCAAUCCCUGGGUCGAGAA